UGAUUUUUUUUGUUUGCUUUCUGCUACAGGAAAACUAAUUCGACCAACAACCACAAAGACAAGAAUCUCCGCCAGAGGAAUACAAACUGAGCAGCCUGUCUGCUGAGUUUCAUUUCACAAAUGUAUUGACCAUAUGAAAGUAAACAAGAAGGGUAUCCAUACCAGUUGUUAAUAAGAUGUAUCUGCCAUUACAAGUAUGGAGAGUUCAAUGAGGCAUGCCUUAUGAUUUUAUUGUGUGAGGAUGCGAAAAUUGAAUUGUUAACAAUAUAACCAUUGUUGCUGCAUGCAGUUGUUGACGUUUAUGAUUUGUUUCCCCCUCCUAUCCACACAUUUUACAUUUUGAAUACUUCUAAAAUAAUGCAUGCAAGAUGUUGACCUUCUGUUUGACACAGAAAUGGCUUCUUUUUUUCUUUCUCUUUUCUCUGAGAGUGGCUUCAUUUAGAUGAUCUGUACUGUGUGUUGUAGAGGAAAACAAAACUUGGCAAUGUAAAAGAAAAUGCCACCAUAUUCUGGUAUGACAGUUAUGUACAGUUUUAUCAUUCCACUGCAUACCGUUUUACCUGAAGAUAUCUAUUGCGUUUUAAGGGCUUCGCAAUGUCCCUCUAAAUGUUAUUAAGAGUUACUUUACUGUAUGUAUUAAAUCACUAACUAUGUAUCAAAAUACCAUUUAAUAUAUAAAGACUCUUCAUAUGAUAUGAUGCACUUAAAUGUUGAGGAUAAUGAAAAACUGUAUAAACAACCUUUAGGAAAUCUGUACUAAUCAUCCUAACAUUGUUUUAUAAUUAUGUGUAUUGUACAGCAUGGCUAUUAUCCUAUGCAAUUAUUAUCCAUAUCGAUACCUAUUGAAAAAUCAUUGCCGCUUUUGAUUUCUCUGUGAUAAAGCUUUAAACUAGUAGGAUCACCUUAGAGCGCUGAAGGCAAUCCGCACAGCAGCAUGAAUUCUUUACAGCUGACGUGGGAGGAGGCGGAGAAAGAAACAUGCGUCAGAACCGACACGUGAAAAAUCCCAAGGUCCCCAACUCAUUUUUAAGAAUAAAUAUCUCAAAAAAUAAA